rnacentral:rRNA from 1 species
AGGAUAAACGCUGGCGGCGUGCAUGAGACAUGCAAGUCGAACGGACGAUCGAGGCUUGCUUCGAUCGUUAGUGGCGGACGGCUGAGUAACGCGUAGGUGACCUGCCCCGAAGUGGGGAAUAACUGCCCGAAAGGGUGGCUAAUACCGCAUGUGGUGGUGCGUUCAAUCGCACCAGUAAAGCCGCAAGGCGCUUCGGGAGGGGCCUGCGUCCGAUUAGCUCGUUGGUGGGGUAACGGCUCACCAAGGCGACGAUCGGUAGGUGGUCUGAGAGGACGAUCACCCAGACUGGGACUGAGACACGGCCCAGACUCCUACGGGAGGCAGCAGUCGGGAAUUUUGCGCAAUGGACGAAAGUCUGACGCAGCAACGCCGCGUGAGGGAUGAAGGCCUUCGGGUUGUAACCUCUUUUAUCAGGGAAGAUAAUGACGGUACCUGAUGAAUAAGUCACGGCUAACUACGUGCCAGCAGCCGC